rnacentral:lncRNA from 1 species
GAACUCACGGCUUCCGAUCACCGUCCCGUGAGUUCUAACUAUUAUGAAAUAAAUUAAUCAAUCUUCCUUGAUGUUUAAGAGCUUGAAACCAGAAAUUAGGCAUUUUUAUUAACCUCAAAAUACCUUCCAAAACUCAAACUACAAAGAAAAAGAGAGGUUAUAUAGCGAUACUUACGUCGUGGGGAUCGUUCUAGUGUUAUUGCUUCGUGAUUUCGUGCCUCGGAUGAUAAUCUUGUUGGAUAACCUUGUGAACAGCUUAUGGGUGAGGUUAGGGGUCUUAUUUGGUCGAGC